AUGGAUUUACUUCCCUACUCCACUUUUGGUGGGCUGGGCCAUGUGACUUGCUUUGACGAAUGGAAUUUGGCUCAGAGUGACAGUGAGUCCACUGCAAGUGUCAUCCUCAAAAGAUAUCGCUUGGUUCCACUCAUCUCUCGGGGAACCUCCAACCUUUUUGAGGAAGACGCGGUCGCCGCUGCAGCGGAGCCCCGCGCCGCCCGCUCUUGUUCCGGACUCACUGCGGUUCGCUCUCGCCGAGGAACAAGUCGGUCAGGAGGCCGAGCUGCAGCCAAGGCCUUUAAAGACGCCCGCAAGACUCGCGUGGAGCCAGAGGUGGCCGUUCACCGGAUUAGGAGCACCCUCACCGGCCGCAACGUGAAGUCUCUGGAGAAGGUGUGUGCUGACCUGAUCAGAGGCGGGAAGGAAAAGAAUCUCAAAGUGAAAGGACCAGUUCGGAUGCCUACCAAGACUCUGAGAAUAACUACAAGGAAAACUCCUUGUGGUGAAGGUUCUAAGACUUGGGAUCGAUUCCAAAUGAGGAUCCACAAGCGACUCAUUGACCUGCACAGCCCUUCUGAAAUUGUCAAGCAGAUCACUUCCAUCAGUAUUGAGCCAGGAGUCGAGGUGGAAGUCACCAUUGCCGAUGCCUAAAUUAACCUUUUUAAUAAAUCGAUAAUCAGUU